UUUGCUUUCUCCGCCAGCCGCCUGCUCUGCAGCACGCCGCCGCCUCUCCCGCCACGACGUCGCCCGGCGCCCCCUCCCCCACAACCCACACCACCACCACGGCCUCGCCCCUUCUCGUCCUAUCCCCACGACGGUCUCGCCCCGCCGUCCCUUAUCCCCACGACGGCCUCGCCCUGCCAGCUCCUGUCACCACUGCGGCCUUGCCUCGCCGCCAACCCCGCCAAUCUUCCCUAGAUCGACUCUGCUGCCGCCAUCCUACUGCCCCAGAGCUGAUCGAGAUGCGAGCUGCUAGACACUAUGUGGGAGGAGGAAUCUCGAAUUGGAUGGAGAUCCAGUGUGUUGACGUGCCUACUGUAAUCAUCGUCCCCCCCCGUGAUUGGCUCACACAGUUGCUGCGGGGAGGAGUUCACAGCUCGCGUACGUGCUCGGUUGCUGAAGGCACCUUCAUCACAUUGUCAUUCAUUUGUGAGAUGUUUCUCUUUCUCUAUGUUGGCAUGGAUGAUAUAUAGAGUAGUGGAAGAUUGUUAGUGAAACACAUUCAGCCCAAUGAAAUGUAUCACCUUGAGCUCCAUUAUUUAGGCCAUAUCUCAUGAGAGAUGCUGUGUCAAUUGCAUUGGCAUCCAAUAAGGCUUGAAGUGGUGGUCGUAACACAGUCGGUUGGGAGGACUCAAUGUCAGAGUCGAUAUUAUGGACAUUUUCCUUGUCAGAACCGGCACUAUCUGGUGUUCUUAAUGAAUUUGGAGCAUGAAGUGGAGUUUGAUCACUCAUUAUCAUAUCAACAGGUAUGGCUGCAUCAUAACUGUAUGUACAAUGUCAGUUGGUGACACACGAACUAAGGUAUUAUGUUUGACAAGAGAACACAUGACCUUCCGCAGCUGGGGUGUGUCGUUGCUGGGUGACAGCAGACUACGCACUGGGCCUGUCCACAGCGUCAAAACCUGUCGAAAAGAACACUUAAUUAACAUGACUUUACUUGUGAUUCAUGGAAUGUAUGAUAAAGAACAUAGAAAAUGGAGUAACCAGGCGACAUGGCCACGGGUGGCUUAGAUGGAGUGUUGGUUCCAUUUAGAAUAGCAGACGUAGCUUUCUUAGAUCCCUUGCCUCCCGUCUUAUUUUCUUAGUAUUGCAUCCCUGUUUACCUCUCCCUUUCCCUCUGUCUCUUUAGUUCUUUUGAAUCUGUUUUUUGACCUGCGAGGCAAUGACAUAUUCUGGAUUUACAAGAUUGAAGUAGGGAGUACGUGCCCCACUAUGCUCAAAGGAUGCCAUAUUGUCAACUCAGUUUGUCAUGCAGAUCAUGAUGUAUUGUCAGAAAGUAGUCAUAUGUCCUCAGAUGCUGCGGGCCACAAGGGGUGAUGACACCGGAGGUAGUGCAACACGCCGAGUCGAGGACGUCCACCGGGUGGAGGACGUCGCGGCUAACAGGGGCGACGGCGGUGUGGCGACGACGGCGGGGCGAGGAGAGGUAGGGCAACAAGGUGGGUCGAGGAAGGACGUGCACCGGGGUGGAGGACAUCGCAGCCACCAGGGGCUAGGGCUGCGUGGCGACGGCGGCGGGGCGAGGAGAGGUAGGGCAGCAAGGCGGGUCAAGGAUGUCCACCGGGUCGAGGACGUCGCAGACACCAGCGCUGAUCGCGGCUGUUUGUGGCGUGGUGGCGGCGUAGAUCAUGGAGGUGUUGUUUAAUUCCCAGUAGGUGUCAUCGUGGGUCUAGGAGGUGUGAUCGUGGGGCUGUGUAGCAUCCUGAACGGGGGAGUCUGCCGGCAGAAAUUUGUUGUGAACCGUCGAUCUGAUUGUAGUAUGGUUGAUCUAACGUGGACAGUUGGAUGGUACCAAGUAGAUCUGACCGGACGUGGGGGAGUAUCCCGUGUGCACUUUCUGGUGUGGAUGUAGGGGAAGUCAUGUUUGGUCUUUUAAUAGUAGUAUAGAUAUAGAUAUAGAUAUA